GUUUGGCUGUGUACCACAAUGCAGAGGAUGCCACUCCAGCACUUCUGAAGAGGCACACAUCAAGAAUUGGGCAUAAUUUCUAAAUUUAUUAGACUUGUCCUGCAAUGAAAGAAUUUGGACAAAUCAAACAUUAGGUGUGUCUAGUCUACACAGUUAAAAUGAACAUGCUAAAGGAACCGAAUCUUGCCCAAGCUGCUUCAGUGCACUUUUUGAACUCUGAAAGUAAGUUAAGAUUUAUAAGUAGGUAUGACCUUAUUUUGCAAAUAUUGGGCACAGAGGACAGUCCAGACAGAGCUGCAUCAACAAUCCGUCCACAUUUAAGUAGCUACGAGAUUCCUUGAAUUUCUGCCAGCAUCCUUCUUCCUGUUCAGACCCAGAACCGUUCCCGACUCGCCCCCGAGCCCGAGUCCCGGGCCAGCGCGCCUCUGCGGGCUCUUCGGAUCUCUCCGAGUAGAUAACCGGGCAGCUCUCCACAGCAGGCACAAAACAUUGCUCUCGAUGCUGCGGUGUUGGGUUCUGAGAAUCCCACCCGCUUCCCAGUUGCAUCGUGCCCAGGAUGUGGGAGCGAUGGCUGAGGGGAGGUGAGGCACACCCGUGGGUAUCUCAGUGCAGACAGAUGUGUUCCACCCCGUGUCCGGCCCCGGGAACGCCCCGCGGGCGCUCAUUCGGCUGCCGCCGGCCGAGCGUGCCUGGCGCUGGGGCAGCGGCCGCCUCUCCCUUCCCUCCCCCGCUCGCCAAGGCGCCUCCUGCCCGGCCACAGCCCCGGCCCGGCCCUGCGCACAGCGGCGGAAUCACCGGGCAGCGCGCACGGAGAGCCAUGGCGCGGUCCCGCGGCGAUGUCCGCUUCUUCCUCCUCCUCCUCCUCCUCUGCAGCUCCGCGGCAGCCGGACCUACGUUCCUUGUGGCAGCUCCCUGGAACAUCAGGCCUGGAGCAAACUUGACGAUUGGGGUAGCUCUGAUGCCGGACAGCCCAGCACAAGUCACCGUAAAGGGAGAAGUGAUCAGAGAUAACGAGACCGUCUUGAGCAGGGAAGUGGUUUUUGAGAAAGGUAAGAAAAAGAAUGGACUUGGUUUGGAAGUAUUUCAGUUUGCCUUCUCACAGAAACAUUUUGCUCCUCCC
rnacentral:lncRNA from 1 species